UACGUAGGGUGCAAGCGUUGUCCGGAAUUAUUGGGCGUAAAGAGCGUGUAGGCGGCCAGGUAGGUCUGCUGUGAAAACUCGAGGCUUAACCUCGAGCUGUCGGCGGAAACCAUCUGGCUAGAGUCCGGAAGAGGAGAAUGGAAUUCCCGGUGUAGCGGUGAAAUGCGCAGAUAUCGGGAAGAACACCCGUGGCGAAGGCGGUUCUCUGGGACGGUACUGACGCUGAGACGCGAAAGCGUGGGGAGCGAACAGG
rnacentral:rRNA from 1 species